CUGACUUGGCAGCCCUUGAAUCACCAAGGGAGUUCCCAAACUCAUCUGAAUCACCUGGAGGUGGUUGUGAAAAAUACAGUUUCCCGGGUGGCUAAACCCAGACACUCAGCUAGGAUAGGGCCCAGGAAUUUCCCUGCAUUUGUAACAGGCACCCCGAUGAUUCUGAAGAUGGUCCGAGAACCAAACUGGGAAGCACUGGUCUGAGUCCUCUGCAAGAAGUUGGUUGAAGUACGGUUGUGAAUGGGGAACAAGGAAGCCACAGUGCUGUCUGAAGGCUGGGUGGUGGACUGAUACCCAUUAUCAUGUUCACACAGUAAAACAUCCCAGAAAAAGCAUCAGAAGACCUGGAAUCUAAUCCUGCCUCUAGCACUUACCUGCAGUGAGGUCUUGGACCAACUACUCAAUCUCUCUGAGCCUCAAUAACCCCCUUGCUAAGGUGGGAAUAAAAUGUGACCUCAUACAGGUGAAACGUGUGCUUUCAAAGGGAAAAAGCACCUUGCAAGGGAGGUCUAAUUUUCUCCAGUGGUCCAGUGACUGCCUAAUUCUGGACUGGGCCACAUUCACUAUCAUAUUUGCCGGUGAGGUUUUGAAUAAGUGCAGUAAGUCAGCCAUUCCCACAUGCUAUGAUUGCCAGGUGGGGUUUUGCUCUACCUCAGUUAUCCCUGGUUGCAUCAAAAAAUAUUUUGAAUCCUCAAAUGCUUUUCAGUGACAAUUGAAGUAUGUUCUGCUUCUGGCUGGGUUUGAGUUUUAAACUAAUAAAUGAUAGACAGUGGCAAACUCCACUAAUUUAGGAAGAUAAUGCCUGAAAGGGUUAAAAGGUAUCUCUGCAAAAGGCCUAAUUAGAGGGUAGUUGUGCAAUGGUAAUCUCUAACCUGGACCGUGGUCAUGGUAUUUCAUAUUUUAAUAGCUCUUUCCCCACCAUUACAUCACAUAUGGUAGAGUCAGUUAGCUGGCCUCAAAUUACUUCUGAGAUACAGAGAGGUUGAUAUUAUUCACACCAUUUCCUAAAGGAGGAACUGAAGCAGAGAGAGGUUAAGUAAUUUGACCAGGAUUACAGAAUGGGUGAGCUAGGAGUAAAAUGUUAUGUUUCUUUACUCUUUUUUUACUUACUGAGAAAAUUGUCCUAAGAUGUCACCUUGCAAAUAGGAUCACAGCAUGUGAAGUGGACAUGCUCGGGGCCACUGCUGACAACAGGAACUAGGUCCCAUUAUUGAGGAGAAUACUUAGCAUUUAUUUCUGAACACUUAGAACAGUAAACUAGAAGGCAAAAAUAUGCAAAAUGCAAAAAUACAGAAGAAUCCCUCUUAUUGUAAAGAGAUUUCUCAAAUGUUUUUUAAAGAUCUUUAAAUACUUAGUGGGAGAAAU